UACGUAGGGGGCAAGCGUUAUCCGGAUUUACUGGGUGUAAAGGGAGCGUAGACGGCGAUGCAAGUCUGAAGUGAAAGGCGGGGGCCCAACCCCCGGACUGCUUUGGAAACUGUAUGGCUGGAGUGCAGGAGAGGUAAGUGGAAUUCCAAGUGUAGCGGUGAAAUGCGUAGAUAUUAGGAGGAACACCAGUGGCGAAGGCGGCUUACUGGACUGUAACUGACGUUGAGGCUCGAAAGCGUGGGGAGCAAACAGG
rnacentral:rRNA from 1 species